GGCUUGCUGGUCUAGUGGUAUGAUUCUCGCUUAGGGUGCGAGAGGUCACGCGUUCGAUUCCCGUGCAAGCCC
rnacentral:tRNA from 1 species